rnacentral:tRNA from 1 species
GUACCUGUAGCUCAAUUGGAUAGAGCAUUGGUUUGCGGAAUCAACGGUUGUCGGUUCGAAUCCGGCCAGGUACG